rnacentral:rRNA from 1 species
AUUGAACGCUGGCGGCAGGCCUAACACAUGCAAGUCGAACGGUAACAGGAAGCAGCUUGCUGCUUUGCUGACGAGUGGCGGACGGGUGAGUAAUGUCUGGGAAACUGCCUGAUGGAGGGGGAUAACUACUGGAAACGGUAGCUAAUACCGCAUAACGUCGCAAGACCAAAGAGGGGGGCCUUAGGGCCUCUUGCCAUCGGAUGUGCCCAGAUGGGAUUAGCUAGUAGGUGGGGUAACGGCUCACCUAGGCGACGAUCCCUAGCUGGUCUGAGGGGAUGACCGGCCACACGGGAACGUAGACACGGUCCAGACUCCUGCGGGAGGCAGCAGUGGGGAAUAUUGGACAAUGGGCGCAAGCCUGAUGCAGCCAUGCCGCGUGUAUGGAGAAGGCCUUCGGGUUGUAAAGUACUUUCAGCGGGGAGGAAGGGAGUAAAGUUAAUACCUUUGCUCAUUGACGGUACCCGCAGAAGAAGCACCGGCUAACUCCGUG